CGAUGAAGCGCCUUCGGGUGUGGAUUAGUGGCGCACGGGUGAGUAACACGUAGGUAAUUUACCCUCGGGCGGGGGACAACUUUUCGAAAGAGAAGCUAAUACCGCAUAAGACCACGACCUCUGCGGAGGAUGUGGGAAAAGAUGGCCUCUUCUUGAAAGCUAUCACCGGAGGAUAAGCCUGCGUCCCAUCAGCUUGUUGGUAAGGUAACGGCUUACCAAGGCGAAGACGGGUAGCUGGUCUGAGAGGAUGAUCAGCCACACUGGUACUGGAACACGGACCAGACUCCCACGGGAGGCAGCAGUGAGGAAUAUUGGGCAAUGGGCGCAAGCCUGACCCAGCCACGCCGCGUGAGUGAUGAAGGCCUUCGGGUUGUAAAGCUCUGUGGGGAGAGACGAAAACGUCGGUUCAUAAUACGCUCCGGCCUUGACGGUAUCUCUUUAGCAAGCACCGGCUAACUCUGUGCCAGCAGCCGCGGUAAUACAGAGGGUGCAAACGUUGCUCGGAAUUACUGGGCGUAAAGCGCGUGUAGGCGGAUUCGAAAGUCAGAUGUGAAAUCCCUGGGCUCAACCUAGGAACUGCAUUUGAAACUUCGUGUCUAGAGUGAUGGAGAGG
rnacentral:rRNA from 1 species